UUUGACCUCGAAUCAGGUAGGAU
rnacentral:rRNA from 1 species